UGGCUAGAUCUUUGGGAUUAUUUUUUUUUCCCCUUCUUUCCCUCUCUCUCUUUCUGGAGGGUGUGUGUUGUCCCCUCGAAGUGAAGGAAUUUUGCUCCAAAGCGAGCUGGGACCGAAGACUCUAGGCUAAGUUCUCUCUCUAUGUAGAUGGUGUCAGGGAGCGAAGCUACUGACCGAGCUGCUGUUACACCUGCUCUUUAUUGCUGAAACCCACUGGAACUUGCUCUGCUUCUUGGGUUGGCCAGUGAGCACUCCCAGAAACGCAGCUGAGUUCUACAUCAGACAUCCACCCACUUGGUGGGUGAAGUGACAGGUGCCACAACUCCAGCCUCCCCUUUUCUGAAAGUCGCGGA
rnacentral:lncRNA from 1 species